rnacentral:lncRNA from 1 species
UCACAGAACUGGAAAAACUUGAUGUUAUUCCUUCUCUCAGAGAGCUUACUGUCUAUGGCAAUCCAAUUUGUAGAAAAAUGGUCCAUCGACAUGUGCUCAUAUUCCGCCUGCCUAAUUUACAGAUGUUGGAUGGAAUUCCUAUAAAUUCUGAUGAUAGGGCAAAAGCUGAAUUUCAUUUCUCUGAACUACAAGCAAAGAAAAACUCAAUAAUCCAGAAUAAUCUCCCCACUUCAAAGUCCUUACUUCCGUCACACCUGCAAGCUCCUUUGCCAUGUAAGUUCGUUCCUGUUACCAGCUCUCCUACGGAUGGUGGGUCAUUCUGCCACGUUAAAGCCUCUCCCAUUAAAAUAACAAAUGUUAUUCUACCUGCUGGAUUUAGCCAUUUCUUGGGACCUGACUUCUCCUUAACUCCUGAAGUUGAAGGUAUUUUUACAAAGAGUUUCAGAGAGAAUGAAAAAACAAACAAACGACAGCAGCAGCAACAAUAAAAGGAAAGAAAACCCUCCUUUAA